AAAUGGCCGCAGGUACACACAGGGUUACGAGAAUAACCUCACCUUUCUAACUGUAAAGGGGUCUGGACAUACAGUUCCAGAGUACAAACCACGAGAGGCGUUUGAUUUGUUUAGCCGGUUUUUGGCUGGAAACCACAAUAAGAGAGCGAGAGCGAUGUUGCUAUUUAUUGCUUAUGCUACACAAAUUUUAGAGAGAAUAAAUCAUAUGGUCAGAAAAAGAAAUGUUUGCAUUACUAUUGAAUUAAACUACUUUUACAUUGACUCUGCUAA